GGGAAAACUAUCUGAUCUCUAGAAAGCUCCAGCUCUACUUUUCUUUUGGAAACACUUUCACUGUAGAGUAUCAAAGUCUCUGUCUUAUUACUUAUAUGAAGAAUAAGAGCAAAGUGAAUUUUGGAAUGAAACUAAAUUUCAUACCAUGUGAACUCAUGCUGGAAUAAGAGCUCACAUAAUCAUUCCCUUUUCCAAGAGUUCUGUUGGUUCUGCUCUGUCAUUUUUCAGAAGGGAGAAACAACAAUAAAUGGUGCCUACUUCUACAUGCAGACCGCAUUUUACAACAACAGCUCCUGUGGGCUAAUUGCAUUGGAGGGUCUGAAGUAAUUCAAGUAUUACUGGGAGCACGGUGGGUGAAGAGCGUCGUAUUUCACAGCUGAGAAGGAAUAAAUUGACUCUAGGCUUGAGCCUUGAGGGUGGAAAACCAGGAGAAGCACACAGCAGCCAUUCCACUACAAACACCCUGUGACUGUAUUCUUUGGCAUGUGGAGCAUUGGAUGCCUUCACCUUACUCCAUAAGUGGUGGGGGCUGGAGACAGGAGGCUGUAUUCACAAGGAUCUGCUGACUUGGAUGAGCCCUUCUUCAGUGACUGAAAAGCCGCUAUCAGGUCUCCC
rnacentral:lncRNA from 1 species